rnacentral:lncRNA from 1 species
GGGGUGGCCAGCAGGGAGAGGGAGGUGAUUGUCCCUCUCUGCUCUGCCCUUCUGAGGCCCCAUCUGCAGUACUGCAUCCAUGCCUGGGGCCCCCAAUACAAGAAAGACAGGGAGCUGUUGUAGAGGGUCCAGAGGAGGGCCACAGAGAUGAUCAGAGGACUGGAGCAGCUCUCCUGUGAGGAAAGGUUGAGGGAACUGGGAUUGUUUAGCUUGGAGAAGAGAAGGCUCUGGGGAGACCUCACUGCAGCCUUCCAGUACUUGAAGGGAGCAUAUAAACAGGAGGGGGAAUGGCUGUUUAUGAGGGUGGAUCGUGAUAGGACAAGGGGGAAUGGUUUUGAACUGGGACAGGGGAGGUUUAGGUUAGAUAUUAGGAGUAAGUUUUUCACUCAGAGGGUGGUGACGCACUGGAACAGGUUGCCCAAGGAGGUUGUGGAUGCCUCAUCCCUGGAGGCGUGCAAGGCCAGGCUGGAUGUAGCUCUGCCUGGUCUGGUGGUUGGCGACUCUGCACAUAGCAGGGGGGUUGAAAGUAGAUGAUCUUAGAAGUCCUUUUCAACCCAGGCCAUUCUAUGAUGCUCUGAUUAUAUGAUUAAAUAAGAAAAAUGUAUUGUGCUUUCUUGCUACCUGCACCUCCCAUUGCUUCAAUUGAAGGAACUGGGAGGGAAGAGUGUACUGUAAAAACAAGGGAAAUUGUGGCUAGAAAGUGAUGAGGAGAUUUAUUUGGUUAAAAUGGAGACUGUUUUGCCUGAUAAAAAAGUGAACCAUUAGUACUAUUGGGAAGGAAGAAAAGUUUCCCUUCUUUUUGAACUAAUUCUAUCUUCAUGUUCAGAUCUUAACUUGAGAUCCAGUGGCAUAUGUUAAGC